GGUAAAAUGGCUGAGGAUAAGCAUUGAACUGUAAAUUCAAAGACAGAGAUAAGUCUCUUUUUACCA
rnacentral:tRNA from 1 species